UUCUCAAAUAGUAUCAUCUUUUAUGUUUUAAACAAAAUCAUCGCUAUUUUAGGAUCGUUAGUUUCUACUCAGAUUUUGGUCAGCAACUUCACACAUGCAACUUCACACAUGGUUUUCAUACAUCUCUACCCUAAUCACCAAAUCUUGAAUUUGAACCCAAAUCAUAACAUGCAACAUGAAUCCAUAACUCAAAAGUUACAAUAAAUCAGUUUAGCAUAAAGACUAUGGUUGUUCAACACCAAAAUC
rnacentral:lncRNA from 1 species